GGCAGGAAAGAGGUGAAGAAAGGGACCUGAGCAUGAAGGAAAGAAGAAACCGGGGGCCAAAACUAAAGAUGGAGGGGAUCGACUUGGGAAGAAAGAAGGAACGAAGGAGGGCCAAAUUGCAAUAUGGGCUGAUCAACCGUGGGGUCAAAAUCCCUAGAUGCCUUCAUCCCCAAAGGAGCCCGGCAUCUCCAUCUCUCACCCCCUCACCACUUCUUCUCCCACCUUCGGCCGCCGUCGCGGCCAGACCAUCGUGGCGGCGCGCCUCUGGACUUUGCUGCUCCACCAGCACCUUCACCCACCAGCACCACAUCAUCCAGCCACCACUCCACUUCGUUGCCGCGCCUGGCGCGCCCGACCAGACGGGUGUCUGGUUCCCCGCGCCACCUGCUGCUGCUCUCUCCCUCUCCGCUGCUCCUCCCCUCGUCUCCACUUCCUCUGCUUCUCUUCUUCUUCUCCUAACCCUGCUAUUGCUCUUCUUCUUCUCUCAACGCUCCUGCUGCUCCUUCUACUUGCAUCCCCUUGCUGUUGUUGCCUCAACCUGUUGCUUCUUCUCCAAUCCCCACGCUGCUCCUAUUCCCUUUCCUUGCUGGUGUUCCUUUACUGAAGAAAACAACCUGCUGUUGUUCUUUACUUGUUGCUGACCCUGUACUUCUCUGAAUCCCGAACUGCUGCUUCUCUCACUCUUUUUCUUGCAAAAAGAUUGUACGACGCCUUGUUAGAAUUGGUGAAUUGUCCAGUAUUAAAGUGGUUUAGUAAUAUUCUGUUGAUCUGCGAGUACUAGUUUAGUGGCUUGUGUAAUUUCGUUUGUGUUAUCACUUGUGUAACCUGAACCUUGGUGUAGUACCUUGUGCCCAUAUGUGUGGCUAUGUGUGUACUGUAGUUCCUACGUCAACUAUGUUCAUGUGAAAAUAUAUAUGUUUGUGCUGUGAUAUAUAUUUGUCCCUGUCAUAUUAUCUUGUUUCUUUCCUUUGUUAGAUGUUUGAUAGUUAUAUAUCUGUCUUUGUCAUGUUAUUUUACUUUUGUUUUAGUCUCUAAUUUCUCCUUCCUAAUAAAAUAUCAAAAUAGAAAACUAGUACUCUCUCCUUACUGUUUGUCAUUUUUAUUUGUCACUGUCCUUGGUUAUUUUAGGUUUAUUUUCUGGCAUUCAUAAUCUGAAUUGUGUCACCUAGCUUUAGCCGAGCGUUGUUGCCGUCGCCUAGUCCCUGUGGAGAACACGACACUCGCAGUUUGGGCGUAAAAACCCCGCUGUACUUUAAUUGAUCAUUUUGGCGCCGUUGCCGGGGACUAUCGUCGAGCGAUUGUGCGAAUCUAUAGACUAGGCUUAGUAUAGUUUUUGUUUAAAUUUCCAGUCAAAUUUAUUUCUCUGUUUCUUUUCCCUUUUUACUUUUUGUUGCUUUGGCUUAUUAGGAUACUAACCCUCUCACCAAUGUUUGAUGUUUGUGAGCGUGUGUAGGAUAUCUUAUUAUUUGUAGGCUGAUUGACAGUUGCACUUGAACAUAUGGCGUUAGUACGUGGUCUUUGGUUGCCAAGUAGUUUGGACAUGAUGACAGGGCCAAUUUGGCCAUCUAUUGAGGCCGAAAAUUUUGAGUUGAGGCCUGGACUUAUUGCUCUCAUCUUGCAGAAUCAGUUUAGAGGAUUACUCAAUGAAGACCCUCAUGAGCACAUUAGUAAUGUUCUGGAGUAUGCUAAUACAGUCCAGUAUCAUGGCGUUUCCCAAGAUACUAUCAAGUGUAUGUUGUUCACAUUCUCUCUCAGAGAUGCUGCUAAGGACUGGUACUAUUCUUUGCCAUCAAGAUCAUACACUUGGGGUGAUAUUUCACAAGCUUUCCUGCAUAGAUAUUUUCCACUUUACAAGCAAGCUGCAAUUCGUGACCAGAUCCUCAGUUUUGCGCAAGAUGGUAGUGAGAGCUUGUAUGCAACUUGGGAGAGAUAUAAGUAUUUGCUUAGAAAAUGUCCUAAUCAUGGGCAAAAGGAUUGGUUAGUGCUUCAGAUAUUCUAUAGAGGGAUGACACAUGCUUCAAGAGAUCUUAUUGAUAUGUCAGCUGGUGGAACAAUCAUGAACAAGACCGUCGAGGGUGCAAUUAUUCUCAUUGAGAGCAUUGCCUUCCACCAAAUGCAAUCGGGUUAUGAAAGGCCUAGUUCAAAUCCGAAGGUUGCAAGCCUCGUGCAAUCAGAAGCUGUGUGUUCCAUAAGUGAACAGAAAUCAUCCAUGGUGCCUAAUAUUCAAAACCAACAUGUGUCAUUCCGGGGACAACAACAUUUUAGAACUGAAUUAGAUCCUCCAUAUAGAAAGAUUGAUCUUACUUCAAUUAUCCUUGAUGAUGAUUAUGAUAUUUUUCAAGAUGAUGAAACUACUGCAGAUCAGAUGGAAACCACAGUAGCAGAUCGAAUACCUUAUGGCAAUGAAACUGUCCAGAAUGAGUCAAAGUUGCAAGAAGAUGUUUAUGAGGAACCUAAUCUGAUUGAUGCUAAGUUGAGACAGCAAGAUAUGGAGAAAUUCACUUGUGUUAGUCAACUAUGUGACUGGUGGAAUUUAGUCGUGUCACCAAUUGCCCACACUUGUGUUACAACUGUAUCUGGGAUAUUUGUCAAGAAGAAAUCUUUAGCUCCACCGGUGGUUGCCUCUAUCUCAGUUAAAGAGAGUAUCUCAGAGAAGAAUAGUGAAGAUGAGAUUCCAACUCCUGCACAUACAUCUAAGCAAGUCGGAGACAUUCCAAGGAGAGAGAUACAAGAGGUUGAGUCAAAUUUAGAAGAGUUGAUACUUCAAUAUCCUGAGAAGAUCCCACGUGUUGCUGAGCUGCAUGACUGGUGGAAGUCAUCAGUGUCAUUGUUGAAACUUAGCAGUGAUGGUGAUGAGGAGAAUAUUGCUCAGAAAGACAGCGAGGUAGUGAUCUCAGCACCCCUACCAGAUCAUGUUAGUGCAUAUUCUUAGAUGGGGACACUUCAGACUCAAUUAGGUGUUGCUGGUAUUAGCACCAUAGAAGAUCCAGAGGAAGAGAGAUCUCAACUAGAAGAAGAAAUACUCGAAGACGAGGAACAAGAUGAUCUAGAGCUCGAACAACCAAGUGAUCAAGUUGAAGAUUCAUCAUCUACUACUCCUGAAGAAGUAGAAGAAGCUGUUGUAGUUGAAGAUGAAGAACCAGAAAUUCAAUUGCCUAUCAUCAUACAAGAGUGUGAGAUUGCAGGUUUAUCUAAUCCUCUCAAUGGCAUGUCCCCAUAUGAAUUGUUUGCUACUACCUUGCAUUGCAUGAUGCCAUCUGUUAAAGUAGAUUUGAAAAAGUAUUUGCUUGGAUAUGAUCAUAUAUACCCUGUUAGUGGCAUUACUCACAUUAGUGAUGAUCACAGUUACUUUCCUCGUGCUAGACCUAUGCUUUAUGAAACAUAUCAUUCACAUGCUAGUCUUGAGCUUAAUGAUAAAUAUCAUCCUCAUGUUAGUGUUGACCUUGCUGAUUUCUACCAUCCUAAACAUGUGCUAUAUAGCUAUGCUUAUGUAAUUGGAUAUUCGAUUGAUGACUUGGAGGGUAUUAUCCCUACCACUUGCAUUGUCUCUUUUGUUGAGAGUGCUUUCAGGUUUUUGCUUAUGCACGAUCCAUUACAUGCUGACCAGGUUCGAGGUGACAUUCCUUGGGACCCUGGUGGACUCAGAGCAUGGGGAUGAGGAGAAGCAAGGGGGCACACACGAGGAAGGGAGAAGCUGGAGCAGGCAUGAGGAUAGAGAAGCAAAAGGAGAGGAGCUGCAGUUGGUGAGGUGAUCGAGCGAGUGCUACUUCAUUAAGACCGGUGAGCUGUUUCAUGACCCAUUCUGAAUAUCAUAAAUACAUGCUGAAUUCAAUUGCUAGUUGGGUUGCUUGAGCCAGUUAUUACUUGUUGUCAAGCUGAAUUUCACCUUUGGCAUUGUGCUUGAUGUGAAUUUGUGAACUUGAUUUUUGAAUGCCUUGUAAACUAGUGAUCUACACCAUGCAUGCUUUGCUGAAAUUAGUGAGAACUACUACUUUGGAGUGCUCAAAUCCCUAGUACACUAGAAAACUUCGUCAUUUUCUGCAUUUACUAUGAUACACCUAGAUCACCAUGUUUAGAAGCUGAAUUUGUGCCAAGUGUGUUCCCAUUCAGAGCAAUCACCUAACCACUAUGGAUUAGCAUGCUAUGUUCCCUGGAUCGGUAGCAUGUGAACCAGACAUGGAGAAGUGAGUAUUCCUGUUUUUUGUGCUUAUGCAUUGUUCAUUUAAAAAAAGGUAUAUCUUAUAAUGAAUAAGUCUGGUCUACCUACAGUAGCACGUCAUGUUCUCGGGAUCGGUGGCAUGUGAAAUUUGGUAGCUUGGACAGUAAUAAAUAAAUAAUAAAAAUGUAAUUGUCAAACCAGGUGUAUACCAUGUUCUCGGGAUCGGUGGUAUGUUCCUUUGGGGGAGACAAACAAAAAAAACCUAACAAUUGGUCGAGCCAGGUGUAUACCAUGUUCUCGGGAUCGGUGGUAUGCUCCUUUGGUGAGAUCGAAAAUAUAUUAUCAAGUGCGUUCCAAUUUCAAUAAGUGGUUCAACCACAAUGUUAUAUUUCCGCAAAUAAGUGAUUUAAUUCAAGCUCCUUUUGUUCUCAGGAUCAUGCUCUCUUUAGGAACCUUUUGGCACAGUCAACAUUUGAACUUGCUAAUCUUCGUUUAUCAUUGCAAAAGUUUAAAAUGGUCGAGAUUACUAGUGUCCUAUUGAUAUGUAGCACUCUUAACCAUUAAUUUUCACUAGGCAAGUCCAAAUCAUGCACUGUUUAGAGAUCUACUUCACUUGACAUUCUCUAGUCAGUUCACUGUUCAUGUUCUUGCUUUUGUCAUAUGCCUUUGCUUGAGGACAAGCAAAGAUUUAAGUGUGGGGGAACUUGAUAAGCACAUUUCAUAUAUAUAAUUUUGGCACACAAACACACCAUUUAUUGUGAUCCGACGAUCCAUUCUUGCUGUGAACUAUGAUAUAUUUGAAUGAAAAUCAUAUAAAAGAUCAUUUACUCGUCAUUUGAUUAUUUUGCAGAAAAGUGCGCAAAGGCACUAUAAUCUCCAAGAUUCGGACGAAUUGGCCAUUGAGAAGAGAGAAGGGCAGGAAAGAGGUGAAGAAAGGGACCUGAGCAUGAAGGAAAGAAGAAACCGGGGGCCAAAACUAAAGAUGGAGGGGAUCGACUUGGGAAGAAAGAAGGAAAGGAGGAGGGCCAAAUUGCAAUAUGGGCUGAUCAACCGUGGGGUCAAAAUCCCUAGAUGCCUUCAUCCCCAAAGGAGCCCGGCAUCUCCAUCUCUCUCCCCCUCACCACUUCUUCUCCCACCUUCGGCCGCCAUCACGGCCAGGCCAUCGUGGCGGCGCGCCUCCGGACUUUGCUGCUCCACCAGCACCUUCACCCACCAGCACCACAUCAUCCAGCCACCACUCCACUUCGUCGCCGCGCCUGGCGCGCCCGACCAGACAGGUGUCUGGUUCCCCGCGCCACCUGUUGCUGCUCUCUCCCUCUCCGCUGCUCCUCCCCUCGUCUCCACUUCCUCUGCUUCUCUUCUUCUUCUCCUAACCCUGCUAUUGCUCUUCUUCUUCUCUCAAUGCUCCUGCUGCUCCUUCUACUUGCAUCCCCUUGCUGUUGUUGCCUCAACCUGCCGCUUCUUCUCCAAUCCCCACGCUGCUCCUAUUCCCUUUCCUUGCUGGUGUUCCUUUACUGAAGAAAACAACCUACCGUUGUUCUUUACUUGUUGCUGACCCUGUACUUCUCUGAAUCCCGAACUGCUGCUUCUCUCACUCUUUUUCUUGCAAAAAAAUUGUACGAUGCCUUGUUAGAAUUGGUGAAUUGUCCAGUAUUAAAGUGGUUUAGUAAUAUUCUGUUGAUCUGCAAGUACUAGUUUAGUGGCUUGUGUAAUUUCGUUUGUGUUGUCACUUGUGUAACCUGAACCUUGGUGUAGUACCUUGUGCCCAUAUGUGUGGCUAUGUGUGUACUGUAGUUCCUAUGUCAACUAUGUUCAUGUGAAAAUAUAUAUGUUUGUGCUGUGAUAUAUAUUUGUCCCUGUCAUAUUAUCUUGUUUCUUUCCUUUGUU
rnacentral:lncRNA from 1 species